UACGUAGGGUCCGAGCGUUGUCCGGAAUUACUGGGCGUAAAGAGCUCGUAGGUGGUUUGUCGCGUUGUUCGUGAAAACUCACAGCUUAACUGUGGGCGUGCGGGCGAUACGGGCAGACUAGAGUACUGCAGGGGAGACCGGAAUUCCUGGUGUAGCGGUGGAAUGCGCAGAUAUCAGGAGGAACACCGGUGGCGAAGGCGGGUCUCUGGGCAGUAACUGACGCUGAGGAGCGAAAGCGUGGGGAGCGAACAGG
rnacentral:rRNA from 1 species